rnacentral:lncRNA from 1 species
CCAAACAUGCCAACAAGUAGGCUUGUGAAAUUGUGAAUUGCUGUUUGUUUCACUCUACCUAUACAGAGUCACUCAGCUAGAUCUGUAAUGUUUUUGACUAACAGAGCAGUUUUUUCCGUUUUAUGGUUCCAAGCAUUCACUGCAUCUUUGGGGGUUCAGAUUGCUGUGUAUAUAUUUUUUCCUUUUUGCUUUAUAUAUUUAAGAAUGGGCUUGCGGAAGAACUUAUUUGAACAUUGAACUAUAGACCAGAAAUACUAGUUAGGAUGUAAGUCUUGAUACUAAAAAAUUUCCAAUAACAAGGCUUUACAAACAACUUUAUGAUCGAUCUUCACCAAAGAGUACAAGAUGACAUCUCACACAACUCAAACAAUAUUACAGUUGAGUCCAGGUGUGACUGGUGUUAUGUGGGCUUCCCUGCACACAAGCAAAGCUUCUCGUCCAAUGUAUCUAUGUUGUAUCCUUGUUGAACUUUUACCUGAUACAUCAUCAUAUUGGCAACAUGUAAGAAACAUGAUACAUUUGUUUGUAUAUUAUUAUCGAAAACAUAAAUGGACAGUAUAUAAAUAAUUAAGACUGACAAUCAUAUGUAAGAGGCAAGAGGUACGUAAUCACCUGAAGUGUGUGAGCUACUUUGGUCGUCUCAGUUCUAUACUGAUUCUCAAACAAUAUAUAUAUCAAGCUUCUCUUCUUCCAGAAUUUGAACAAAUCAGAUGUUAAUGCGACGUUUUUAAUCUCUCUUUAUCUUCACUUUCAUUUCUAUACUUAUUCUUAAAUACUAUCGAUCUCAAGCUUUUCUUUUUCAAGAAUUCGACACACCCGAGAUUAGAGCAACGUCCUGGAGAACUAGUUCUUCAAUCAGUACUGAAUCAUCAUCAAACUUCUUUAUCCAAGAAGUUAAUUUGAUGAUGAUUCAGUACUGAUCGAAUUACUAGUUCUCAAUAUGUCGGGUUUGAUUCAAAUUCUUGAAGAAGAAAAGCUUAAGAUAGUGUUUUAGAAUCAGUAUAGAACUAAGACCAAAGUGUAGCUCACGUACUCACUUCAGGUGACCACCUAAUUAUCUUAUUUAUUGACAUGGAUG